CCCUUAGAUGUUCUGGGCUGCACGCGCGCUACACUGAUGCGUUCAACGAGUUUAUAACCUUGCCCGAUAGGGUUGGGUAAUCUUUUGAAAACGCAUCGUGAUGGGGAUAGAUUAUUGUAAUUAUUAAUCUUCAACGAGGAAUUCCUAGUAAGCGCGAAUCAUCAGUUCGUGCUGAUUACGUCCCUGCCCUUUGUACACACCGCCCGUCGCUCCUACCGAUUGAAUGGUCCGGUGAAGCGUUCGGACCGUGGCUUUCUGACGGUUCGCCGUCGGAUGGCCGUGGGAAGUUCGUUAAACCUUAUCAUUUAGAGGAAGGAGAAGUCGUAACA
rnacentral:rRNA from 1 species